rnacentral:rRNA from 1 species
GACGAACGCUGGCGGCGUGCUUAACACAUGCAAGUCGAACGGAAAGGCCCCUUUGGGGGUACUCGAGUGGCGAACGGGGGAGUAACACGUGAGUAACCUGCCCUUGACUUCGGGAUAACUUCAGGAAACUGGGGCUAAUACCGGAUAGGAAUCCUUGCUGCAUGGUGGGGGUUGGAAAGCUUCGGCGGUUUUGGAUGGACUCGCGGCUUAUCAGCUUGUUGGUGGGGUAGUGGCUUACCAAGGCUUGGACGGGUAGCCGGCCUGAGAGGGCGACCGGCCACAUUGGGACUGAGAUACGGCCCAGACUCCUACGGGAGGCAGCAGUGGGGAAUAUUGCACAAUGGGCGGAAGCCUGAUGCAGCAACGCCGCGUGCGGGAUGACGGCCUUCGGGUUGUAAACCGCUUUCAGCAGGGGCGAAGCUUGUGGUGACGGUACCUGCAGAAGAAGCACCGGCUAACUACGUG